GCAGYCGCGGUUAAACCAAGAAAUUUAGUCAUUCUUUUACGGUAAAAAGACAGUUAAGCAGGAAAACAAAAUCAUUAGAUCUUCGAUAUAGGAGUAAAAUCUAGAUAUUGAAAGUUAUACCUAACGUGAUUUAUUAAAUAAGCUGAAGCUGUGAUAGCUUAAAGGGAAACUGGGAUUGGAUACCCCAUUAUUUUUAGUCGUAAAUUUAGUUUAAACUUACCAGAGUACUACGAAUAAAAAGUUUAAAACUCAAAGGGCUUGGCGGUGUUUUAGACCUCUCAGGGGAACCUGUCUCAUAAUCGACAAUCCACGUUAAACCUAACUCUUUAUAGCAAAUCAGCCUGUAUACCGUCGUCGUCAGGUAACUUCUUAAAAUAUAGUAGUUAGCUCGAGAAUUUUAUUAAUUAAAACGUCAGAUCAAGGUGCAGCUAAUGAAAGAGUGAGGAUGGGUUACAAUUACAAAUUUGUAAUUACGGAGAACACUUGAAAUGAAGUGACUUAAAGGAGGACUUGAAAGUAAUUUUGAUUAUAUAAACAAAAUGAAUAAGGCUCUGAAACGUGCACACAUCGCCC
rnacentral:rRNA from 1 species